rnacentral:rRNA from 1 species
AUGAACGCUGGCGGCGUGCCUAAUACCUGCAAGUCGAGCGAACAGACGAGGAUCUUGCUCCUCUGACGUUAGCGGCGGACGGGUGAGUAACACGUGGAUAACCUACCUAUAAGACUGGGAUAACUUCGGGAAACCGGAGCUAAUACCGGAUAAUAUAUUGAACCGCAUGGUUCAAUAGUGAAAGACGGUUUUGCUGUCACUUAUAGAUGGAUCCGCGCCGCAUUAGCUAGUUGGUAAGGUAACGGCUUACCAAGGCAACGAUGCGUAGCCGACCUGAGAGGGUGAUCGGCCACACUGGAACUGAGACACGGUCCAGACUCCUACGGGAGGCAGCAGUAGGGAAUCUUCCGCAAUGGGAGAAAGCCUGACGGAGCAACGCCGCGUGAGUGAUGAAGGUCUUCGGAUCGUAAAACUCUGUUAUUAGGGAAGAACAAAUGUGUAAGUAACUAUGCACGUCUUGACGGUACCUAAUCAGAAAGCCACGGCUAACUACGUG